AUACGGAGGGUGCAAGCGUUACUCGGAAUCACUGGGCGUAAAGCGCGCGCAGGCGGGCUGAUAAGUUGGAUGUGAAAGCCUACGGCUCAACCGUAGAACUGCAUCCAAAACUGUCAGUCUAGAGUCUGGGAGGGGAAGAUGGAAUUAGUUGUGUAGGGGUAAAAUCCGUAGAGAUAACUAGGAAUACCAAAAGCGAAGGCGAUCUUCUGGAACAGUACUGACGCUGAGGCGCGAAAGCGUGGGGAGCAGACAGGAUUAGAAACCCUAGUAGUCC
rnacentral:rRNA from 1 species